AGUGAACGCUGGCGGUAGGCCUAACACAUGCAAGUCGAACGGCAGCACAGGAGAGCUUGCUCUCUGGGUGGCGAGUGGCGGACGGGUGAGGAAUACAUCGGAAUCUACUCUGUCGUGGGGGAUAACGUAGGGAAACUAACGCUAAUACCGCAUACGACCUACGGGUGAAAGCAGGGGAUCUUCGGACCUUGCGCGAUUGAAUGAGCCGGUGUCGGAUUAGCUAGUUGGCGGGGUAAAGGCACACCAAGGCGACGAUCCGUAGCUGGUCUGAGAGGAUGAUCAGCCACACUGGAACUGAGACACGGUCCAGACUCCUACGGGAGGCAGCAGUGGGGAAUAUUGGACAAUGGGCGCAAGCCUGAUCCAGCCAUACCGCGUGGGUGAAGAAGGCCUUCGGGUUGUAAAGCCCUUUUGUUGGGAAAGAAAUCCAGCUGGCUAAUACCCGGUUGGGAUGACGGUACCCAAAGAAUAAGCACCGGCUAACUUCGUGCCAGCCGCCGCAGUAA
rnacentral:rRNA from 1 species